AAGUCGUAACAAGGUAUCCGUAGGUGAACCUGCGGAUGGAUCAUUACCAAUUUUUUAUUAUUAGUUAGUGUGCGACCGCCUUGGCGGGAGUACACUACACUACUAAUGUAAACGUUGAACUAGAUCAUCAGUGCGUGGAUUUGUUUGCUCUCGAGCGGACAGUCCCCACACUGAUACCCUUUUCAUAAUAUACUACUCGUAUAUACUACAAACAAACAAAACAAAAGCUAUAAUAGGACUUAUAUAUAGGCUGAGUGGGUAACAUCCUCAGUCUUUAAACUAAUAACUAUUACAACUUUCAGCAAUGGAUCUCUAGGCUCUC
rnacentral:misc_RNA from 1 species